GUGGGGAAUAUUGGACAAUGGGCGAAAGCCUGAUCCAGCCAUGCCGCGUGUGUGAAGAAGGUCUUCGGAUUGUAAAGCACUUUAAGUUGGGAGGAAGGGCAGUAAGUUAAUACCUUGCUGUUUUGACGUUACCGACAGAAUAAGCACCGGCUAACUCUGUGCCAGCAGCCGCGGUAAUACAGAGGGUGCAAGCGUUAAUCGGAAUUACUGGGCGUAAAGCGCGCGUAGGUGGUUCGUUAAGUUGGAUGUCAAAGCCCCGGGCUCAACCUGGGAACUGCAUACAGAACUGGCGAGCUAGAGUACGGUAGAGGGUGGUGGAAUUUCCUGUGUAGCGGUGAAAUGCGUAGAUAUAGGAAGGAACACCAGUGGCGAAGGCGACCACCUGGACUGAUACUGACACUGAGGUGCGAAAGCGUGGGGAGCAAACAGGAUUAGAUACCCGUGUAGUCC
rnacentral:rRNA from 1 species